GGCUGGUAUGAAGGUAGUGAGUUAUCUUACUUGAUUGUUCACACUUACAGAUUGAACUUUUUGUUCUCCUUCUUUCCCCCUUCUCACUACUGCACUUGACUAGUCUUAA
rnacentral:Y_RNA from 1 species